rfam:Blastocystis hominis, Singapore isolate B (sub-type 7) whole genome shotgun sequence assembly, scaffold_14
GUACCUUCUCAGCCGUUUGGCUAAGAUCAAGUGUAGUAUCUGUUCUUUUCAGUGUGAAAACUGAAAAUGUACCCACUGGGUACAUCUUUUUCACCUGUAUUUUUCGACUGGGCAGGCAGUAAACCUAGUUUACUAGGUUGUGCCAGCGCGAGUGUCCUUUGCAUUGCACUACCGUGAAGUGAUGCUCACCGCCC